rnacentral:tRNA from 1 species
GCCCGAGUGGCGGAAUGGUAGACGCAGGGGAUUCAAAAUCCCCCGCUGCAAGGCGUGCGAGUUCGAGUCUCGCCUCGGGCACCA